rnacentral:rRNA from 1 species
ACGCUCGACACCUACUGGAGGCAGCAGUGGGGAAUAUUGCACAAUGGGGGGAACCCUGAUGCAGCGACGCCGCGUGAGGGAAGAAGGUUUUCGGAUUGUAAACCUCUGUCCUUGGUGACGAUAAUGACGGUAGCCAAGGAGGAAGCCACGGCUAACUACGUGCCAGUAGCCGCGGUAAUCUGAGCGGGCUGGCAAGGC